CCAGCCGUACCAGUGGCAGCGCCGAUCGCCGAUGGGUCUACGCCAAGUUUGGUGGCUGAUAAACCAAAGAGUUCGUUCUCUUCGUGGUUUUAUCAGAAGCAAAAUCCCAACUCUGAGGGUGUUCCCUGGUGCAGGCUCUUAUCCCAGUCUUCACAGAAUCCGAAUGUUCCUAUUUCCACAUCGAACUUCACAAUUGGUUCUAGUAGAAAUUUCAACU